rnacentral:lncRNA from 1 species
GUAAACUCUUUAAACCCUAAUCAGGGUUUUACCAGCAUGCUAACCUGAUUAUUUGAGAUGUAUGGUUCACUCUGUAAAAGUUAGUUCUUGAUUCAACAGUCUGCAACAGUCUUAUGAUUCAUAACCAGAGAGAACAUGAGAGCGCCUACUGAUGAUUGAAUUUACCCUAAAACGACACAAUUCUUUUCUUUUCAAGUGAUAAAUUCCAGAUUGAUCGACCGUCAACAGUCUUUUCUGUAAGAGCCGCUUGGGAUCCAUCAACCAUAUUUUCGAGAUGAUGAAUUUCCAACAAAUUGAGGAACUGUGCUCUCCAAAAUAGAUAGGUAUCCGCACACUCGAGAGAAACACGUAUCCAAUGCCCGACCUGGAAUAUAUAGACAUUCUCUGGAAGAGAAGAACUAGCAGAAGAACUCAUGGACGAGCUCAGUGUCAACGUUACAACAGAGAAAUCGAGAAGAAAAAAGAAAAAAAAAAUCGCACUGAAAUCAGAAACGAACUCGGAAAUCAAAUCGAGAACCAAAUCUACGAAAUCGACCAAAUCGGAAACCAAGAACAAUCCAAGAACCAACGAAAUCAAGAAUCAAAUCGAAAAACAUUGUUGAUUAUCCAAG